UCCAGGGUAGGCUAGGAGACAUGGCAUCUGCCCGGUAAGCGGAACACUGUGGGUUCGAUUCCCAUCCCUGGAC